UGGGGGAAUUUUGGACAAUGGGCGAAAGCCUGAUCCAGCAAUGCCGCGUGUGUGAAGAAGGCCUUCGGGUUGUAAAGCACUUUUGUCCGGAAAGAAAUCCUUGGCUCAAUACAGCCGGGGGAUGACGGUACCGGAAGAAUAAGCACCGGCUAACUACGUGCCAGCAGCCGCGGUAAUACGUAGGGUGCAAGCGUUAAUCGGAAUUACUGGGCGUAAAGCGUGCGCAGGCGGUUUGCUAAGACCGAUGUGAAAUCCCCGGGCUCAACCUGGGAACUGCAUUGGUGACUGGCAGGCUAGAGUAUGGCAGAGGGGGGUAGAAUUCCACGUGUAGCAGUGAAAUGCGUAGAGAUGUGGAGGAAUACCGAUGGCGAAGGCAGCCCCCUGGGCCAAUACUGACGCUCAUGCACGAAAGCGUGGGGAGCAAAACAGGAUUAGAUACCCUGGUAGUCCACGCCCUAAACGAUGUCAACUAGUUGUUGGGGAUUCAUUUCCUUAGUAACGUAGCUAACGCGUGAAGUUGACCGCCUGGGGAGUACGGUCGCAAGAUUAAAA
rnacentral:rRNA from 1 species